AGUUGCUGGGGUGAUUAGAAAAUAAAAAAAUAUAUAUUUUACUGUUUGUGGUGCAGAAAUUUGUAAGUCUAACUAACCAAAUUAAAUCAGAGCUAAUUAACCAUUAGCCGUACUUAAAGUCCUUGAAUUUGUUGCACAUAAAAUCGACUUGUGAUUCAUUCUGCCUUUUUUAAUUGUUUGUGAAAGAGUUGAAUAAAGUUUGAGUUAUUUUUUUUAUUUAAAAAUUACUUACUUUUUACUUUACAUAUACUUUUUAAAGAUAAAAACAUUUUAUUUUUGCUUAACCAGACAGCCACAAUGGAGGGGUAAAAGAAAUGGCUCCAGAGCCGCAGGUUGCAGACCUAUAUAUAAAAAAAGAAACAACAACAACAAAAAAAACCAAAUGCUGUUCACAUCCGCACUGCUCUAAAGAAAUAACAGAGAAAGUAAGAAAAAAACAGGCUGACAUAUGUGGGAAAUACGUCUGAACACAUUUUGCCUUGUAGCACCUUCCAAAGUAACUGUGCAGCAUGAUGUCAACAGUUUCCCACACUCAUACAAACACAUAAAACAUCCCGUUUUUAGGGGCGUAGCUGUAAAUAACAAGGAGUUUCUCUAAAGUAUUACGGAAAAACUGUGUGCGCUUUUCAUAUUUCCUUUUCUGCUUGUUCUGAGUCUAAGGCAGCCUGGUCAUCCAAACAGUGGAAACAAUGUUGGUGCGACCACAGAACUCCUCCCUUCCAUCCGUUGAAAUCCACUUUUUCCAGCUCCGAAACGAUGUACAAAAUUUCACGUGAGGAUGGAUUUGUGUCCCUCACAGGCUCCUGUGCUCCCUGGACAUUGCUUCACCUCCUUGCAUUUCUCCUCCCGCUUCCCCCUCUGCAGCAGGACUGCUGACUUUCUCCUCCUGGGAUUGCGCCUGCUUUGAUUGCCCCCGCUAAAACAAACACUCGGCCGCACACAUGCACACACCUGGAAACUUGAGUACUGAUUACUUCUGUCAGCCAGAAGUCAGAAUGGGACAGAAAUGUAUAAGAGGGCAAGGAAAGCAAACUUUGGGUCUUUGUUUCUCCGCACACACAGCAUCUUUGCUCUGGUUCUGAUUUACCAGUAGUGUGUCACCUUUUCGAGUCGUAGCCGCCCCUCCCUCCAUCGCUCUUUGUGUGUGUUGGAAGGGCAGCAUAAAGGGCCCUUUAUUUCAGUCGGACAGGGAGAGGAAAUCAGCUUUAGAAGUAAAAACAGAGGGAGCAAGAAAGAGACGGAGACCACAGGGCUGCACAUCUGGAGUUAUUACAAGGCUUCCUCCCGCUUGCCAAGAAAGCGCCGACAUUCCUGCCCUCGCUACAAAGACCGUGGAGUUUCUGCUCUCAUCCAGCCCAACUCCCAAACACACAUCCAUCACUCAGAUGUCCAGAAACCGCAUAUGCGCUCACGUUUACCAUACGCCGGGCUGCAAGCACAAGCUGGAUUAUUAAAGAGGAGCUUAAAAAACAUAUUUGUGUCUCUGCGGCAGAGCACCCUACCAUCAGACUUCCACUAAAAAAGUUCCCUCCCUCCUUCACUACUUUUCCAAACUUUACAGCACACAUGACUAAUGAAAGCAUUUCACUUCCUGUUCACCUCUGACCUUCCACUUUCUCUCCAUGAGCCAGAGAAGAAAGACAUAAAAAAAGUAAAGGGGUGAAGGGGGGUGCAGACAGAAGGAGGGGAGACAGAAAGAAAAGAGGAGAAAAGGAAAAAUGGGGGGCCGAGAGCUCCGCCUCUUUCCUUCUCCAUAUCUCCUCUCUGCCUCCUUCCUUUUCUCCUUCUGUCUCUGGAAGCAGGACCUCCGUAGCCAGUCCGUCUGCCACGUCAAACCUCCAGCCGGUCCACCUUCCUCACUAACAUUCCGGUCUUUUUCUGUAUUUUUUUUUUUUUAAACCCCCUUUCUGCGACACAGAUGAGCAUUGAGAAAGAAGAUGUAGAAACUUUGCGGCAGAGAUGGAGAAAAAAAAAAUGGAGACGAAGAUACUCUACAAAACCAGAGGAGAUCUCGCCAAGAUGAAGAGGAUGAUGAUGUGGAAUGUUGCUUCUCGCUGCGGGAAACUGGGAAUGUUGUAGCAUCCACCGAUGAGUGACUAUCACCUUCGACUAACCUGUCCUCCUAACCUUCCUCUCAUCAUCGAUUACUCAUCUAGUUAGAUCAGCCCUUUGUCUGAGAACUGGAACCCAAAUGUCUGAUUUUAGAAUCGCAGUAAGUACAAUUUUGCAUGAAAUAUCUCUAAUGUGAAAAGUUCUCCUCUUUAGCAAAUGUACCCCUCCCCCCUCCCAGCCCGCCUGCCCAGUGUUCAGACUACCUGUUCAGGAAGUAGUGGUUGUACAGUAGUCUGCACAUUGGUUAGGCUGGUUAGGGAAGUGCACAGAUGCAUUUAAGAGCUUCAGGAACGACAGACUGGGGAUCGAGGAGACAUCCAGGAGCGCCACACUUGGUCAGGAUGAAGCACCACCUCAGAGGCCCAACACCUACAUACACGGGAUGGAUUUAACUAACCCUAACAACUGAAAUAAAUGGCUGUUUCAAACUAUGUCAUGUAUGAGUUCAAAACUUGGAAUGGCUAAUAAAAAUCAACAUUUUUGUGUGA